rnacentral:rRNA from 1 species
AUUGAACGCUGGCGGCAUGCUUUACACAUGCAAGUCGAACGGCAGCGCGGGCUUCGGCCUGGCGGCGAGUGGCGAACGGGUGAGUAAUGCAUCGGAACGUGCCCAGUAGUGGGGGAUAGCCCGGCGAAAGCCGGAUUAAUACCGCAUACGACCUGAGGGUGAAAGCGGGGGACCGAAAGGCCUCGCGCUAUUGGAGCGGCCGAUGUCGGAUUAGCUAGUUGGUGGGGUAAAGGCUUACCAAGGCGACGAUCCGUAGCUGGUCUGAGAGGACGACCAGCCACACUGGGACUGAGACACGGCCCAGACUCCUACGGGAGGCAGCAGUGGGGAAUUUUGGACAAUGGGGGCAACCCUGAUCCAGCCAUGCCGCGUGCGGGAAGAAGGGCUUCGGGUUGUAAACCGCUUUUGUUCGGGAAGAAAUCCUCUGGGCUAAUACCCCGGGGGGAUGACGGUACCGGAAGAAUAAGCACCGGCUAACUACGUG